CUCUCCUGACGCACGCGCCUCCUCUCCCAGAAAUUUCUUUCUUCCCACAAGCAAUCUCCUCUCUCCCCAGGUAGGGUUGCCACCGCCACCGCCCCAUCGCUCCUUCGGCGCUGGCCACCGACGGAAGGUGGCGGCAAGAGCUAGAAGGUGAGUAGUGACACGAGCUCUCGUCCCGAGGAAGCCGCGGAAGGACAAGCACAACCCAGUCGAGAUGCGGUCGUCGGUGUCGUGAUGGGGUGGAGCUGCAGAGUAGGGGCGGCGACAAGGGGAAGGAGUAGACAAGGGAGGAGUGGAGAAGGUCGUCUCCCGCGCUGCACCGCGGACAAGAGGGUGGCGGGCGGCAGUCGCCGUGGCGGAGGAGAGGAAGACGAGCUGCCACGCAGGGGAGAGGAAGGAAAGUUGCGCCCAUAGUGAAAGCGGGGCAGCCCAAGGCUAUCGCGUAGGAGAACGGGGAGGGGGGCGCUGCCACCGAGAAGAGCGACGAGGGUUGCGGCGUCGCUGCAGAUGAGAAGGAGAGCCACUACACCGCACGAUUCCACAUGAACCUCUCAUCUUUAGGGUGAACAUCCUCUGAAAUUUUCUGUAGUGGGUACCCUGUUGUUCAUCUUCAGAACAUCCUCUGAAAUUUUACUUGGCUGACGAUGUUCUUACUCCAUCAUCUUCAGUACUGCUUGACUGCUUAUUUUUAUCUUAAUAGAAGUGCAGAUUCUAUUAUGGCAAAAUGUCCACUAUAUUUUUUUGACAGUUAAAUCUUCUUUAUUCAAAGGACAGGAGGGCUAUAUCAUUUACAACUAAAGAGAUUAACCUCACCACUUCUUGACUUUUUCUCUCUUUCCGGUGCCCUGCUUCCAGCACUUAUAGUCUUUGCUUGUGCGGAUUUCUAGUUUUGUACGCCUACAAGGUAUUUGAUGAAAAUCCCAUAGGGCUAGCAGGGAAGGAGUGGUCUAUAUAAGCCAUGUGAUUUCAUUCUUCAAAAAAUUAGUUCCAGACAAUCAUAACAAGAUGAUUUUAGAUUAAUAAGAAUCCAUGAGGUGAAUAAAAGUAUGAAGAAACAAAAAAUAUAUGAAAUUGUGUAUAUUUUGUUUGAUUGUGAGGUUAUUAGCUUUGCUUGUGUUCUAUUUGAUCCCUUGCGAAUGCGAAUAAGAAAAGAAAGUUGAAACAUGUUCACUAAAAUGUGUGCUUUGCUGGCUUUUGUUUUCAUGUAGGGAUGCAUUUGAGUGUACAGUUACCUGACUUUAUAUAGUGCUGCAUCUUUUGUUUAUCGCUAGAUCUGCUGUAUCAAAUCUGCAAAUGGCACCAACAUCAUACAGUGAGCUAUGCCUGAUAGCUAUUGCUGUCAUUUCCCCUCCUGAAAUCAUCCUUUUCCUAUAUGUAGUAGCUUCAGUAAGGUUGCUCACCAAUGAGCUGGGAGUAUUUUUGUCCUGGAUACUUGCAUGAUUGAAGAAGAAAUUUGGUAUUCCUAAAUGUGCUAUUAUAGAUCAAAGGUGAACUCAUCCCAUUUUCUUACCUCAAUCUCAGGAGAAGAUUCUCUUGUUCACUAAAAUUCAUUUUUAUGUAAUUAUUUCAUUGAUCCAUGACAUCGGCCAUCCUCUGUGUCCCUUCCGCUCCUCUCGCCGAUGACCAUGAACAGGCAAAGGAAAUGAAGCGCAGGCGCAGUGCCGCUAUUGCCGCCGGAUUUUCUCCCGGGUCAUGGGAGGCGUUUGGGAGGAUCGACUAGGAAGGAUCGAACGGCACCUGGAGAAGACCUACACAAGGGUGCCACCAAGAUCUUCAAGGACGUCCUCGACUCUGCCGGAUUCAGACAACAGAUUCCUUUACAAAUUCGAAGCGAGAACUCAAAAAAGAAAGUGCAAGGAAAUGAAGGGCGCAAGACUACUAGAGGCAAAGACAGGCGGACGCGGCCGGAGCAGUAUGGUGGCGUCGAUGGGUGUGGAGGAGUGUGUGAAGACGCUGCAGAGCACCGUUGAGGAGCUUGUCAGCAGGACGAGCUGCUCCCGCUGCUGCAUGGCAACCCAGCCGGAUCUGCCUCGACAGGUUCGAGCCCUCCGUCACCGGCCUCGUGCACAUCUGGCAGGGUGUUGGGAAGGUGGUCAAUGUGAACAAGAUGGUCAGGGCCAGAUGGAGAGUAAAGAUCCUAAUAGCGGACCAGAGGCCAACUUGGCAAGAUCAGGGAGCAGCUGGACCACGAUAAGGACUUCGGCGGCGGCUUCUCCGCCAUUACAAUGGAGAGCUAUCCAUGACAUGUGUGGGAGCAAUGGAAUCGGAGGUGCUAGAUGCAGGCACUAAUUGUAUUUAGAGUUCGGCUGCAAUAAUGAAAUCUUUUAGGAUGGUACAACCUUGGACUAGGGGAUACCAUGAACAGAUCUUAUAGUCAAAUAAUUUAUGAGUGACUUCUACUGUUUACCUUAUCUUUGGUUCAGAAAAUAGGAUCUAGCUUCAGUCAAGUUAACCAUCAAUUUGUUUCAGGGUUAGUCUCUAUUCUUAGAGAACAGCGUUUUGGCUACCGAGCCCAGCUGCUCCUGC